GGCUUUACAUCGAGUAGUAAGGUCUUCCUUUAUAUUCCGGUCUCCAUGGAGAAAGAACGACGUUUCAAAAUUUAACUUACGUAAUAGUGAUAGUCUUUGGGAUACGUACACGAACUCGUGAUCUUCCUAGAUUCUUUUUCCUAUCGCGACCUAGUAGGCACUGAAACAACCGUUUCAACGACAUUCAUAUCAGGUCCGGAAAGGGGAGAAGGUACCGAUCGUUAUACAGUCAAUACUCUAUAACACUAUUAAUAAAUAACAGAAGGAAGAGCUAUCUAUUGAAAAGUAUACUUGUGUCGACGUGGUCAAUACUUCCGAACAUGGGUUUACUACUUCAGACAACAGACAUUUCACUGCGCCCGAGUUUGUUUUCAUAAAAUUAGGUAAGGGUAGGUAAAGCCACUACUCUUAAAGAGAACCGUUUAGUUACUGAUUACUGGUCAACUUACGGGGACACCCUUCGACCUUCCUAGGUUUUUUCUACCUCCAGACACUUUUAUUAUUUAGAUUGACUCGAGUUCAAAUCAAAGUACUUUGUUGACCAAACGAAUCGACGGGACACGUGACACUAUUAAACCCUCUUUUUAUGUUUCUACUGCUUGGGUCAUGUAACCUAAACAAAAUCCUCACGGUGAUGUCGUCGUUCUUUACGAUGCGUGGCUCGACGUUAACGUUCAGUUGUAAGUUUCUAAAAAUUACCACAGAUGUAUGUCUUCUACGUGUUGUUGGUUGGAGACUUGUUUUAAGAUCGACUACACGAACGGUUCGCGUGGUUAUUCUGGUCAAAAGAAGGUUGUACACCCCUAGGUUGUACUCACACUCCCUUAAUCACCUUCGUCGGAACUUCGUCUUGAACAUCGCCUCUUCUUUCCUUUACGGCUCGAAGCGCGGAAACAACUAUGGAACUGAGUUUCUGUAGUUCCUAGUACGUUCUACUCUUCUUGUACUUCUUCGUUCAACUCUACCUACACUUUUAACUCAAAAACGAUCGGUUUACGCUAGUUCAAGUCAAUAUCCAAUUCCACCAACAACUUCGUAUCAUAAUGACCUUCAACCACGAUUGUACACAUUAGAAGAUGACCACGGUACGAAAACGACUACUAGUUCAUUACGAAACGGUCGUACGUAAGACAACUACCUACUUACUUACGUUCGUAAAAAUAAUUCCAUCAAACAACAUGACCUCACUACCAUCUAAGUACAAUACGACCUAGUUUUUAACUAUAACAACAAUAUACACAAUAUACACUAGAAU
rnacentral:rRNA from 1 species